GUUGAUCCCGCCGGACCCCACUGCUAUCGGGAUAGGACUAAGACAUGCUAGUCGUGCGCUCAGCCAACACGAAGCGCGGCAUACAGCUCAGUAACACGUGGCUAAUCUGCCCUUGGGACGAGAACAACCCCGGGAAACUGGGGCUAAUUCUUGAUAGGCGAAGAACUCUGGAAUGAGUCUUCACUUAAAAAGUUUAGAGUUAUGCUCUUUAAACCGCCCAAGGAUGAGGCCGCGACCGAUCAGGUUGUUGGUGAGGUAAUGGCUCACCAAGCCUUUUACCAGUGCGGGCCGUGAGAGCGGGAGCCCGGAGAUGGGCACUGAGACAAGGGCCCAGGCCCUACGGGGCGCAGCAGUCGCGAAAACUUUGCAAUACACGAAAGUGUGACAGGGCUAUCCCGAGUGCCAUCCGCUGAGGAAGGCUUUUACCCAGUCUAGAACGCUGGGGGAAUAAGGAGAGGGCAAGUCUGGUGUCAGCCGCCGCGGUAAUACCAGCUCUCCGAGUGGUGUGGAUGUUUAUUGGGCCUAAAGCAUCCGUAGCUGGCUAGGUUAGUCCCUUGUUAAAUCCCCGAA
rnacentral:rRNA from 1 species